rnacentral:lncRNA from 12 species
UUGCAUUCAAAUUCUUCAUAAACAAUGUACACUUAGAUGUUUAGAUUCCUGGUUUUUUGGAUUUUUUGCCCACCAUCUGGCAAGGGCUAUUCCAAGAUAGGAGUCUCCAGCCUUCCUAAUCUAUGACUGCACUAAAAGUUGUUGGUUAUCAUAAUUUUGACCUUUCUUGAAAUGGAAUUUAAAUUAAGUUUUGUUGCAGCCCUCCCUGGCAGCUGCAACUGCCUCACAGUUUCUUUUAUUUAUGGUCAGCUUCCCAUGCUGCAGUUCCCAGUGUCAAAUCUCUGAUCCAUCCCAGCUGGCAUAAGGCCACAUGGGAAAACAGGAACACGGAGCUGCUUACUCACUUUUGUUAUGUCUAGGCUGGUAAUCAGUGUGCUGUGUAGUUCUCAGGGAGAUUUUCCCUGCAGAUUCAGCAGAGCAUCUUCCCCUCAGAUGCACCUGAUCCUUUAGGAAUCCUGGGUGAAAGCAGGAGGAGGAUGAAUCCCCUGAGACAAUCUGGCUGUACACACUCAUCCCUUGAUUUCUGAAGGUCUGGGAAGUUCUGAAGUUCAGUGAUCCCACUGGAUUCAAGCACACCUGCAAUAUCCUGCACAGCACAGCUGGGACAGGGAUGCCAGGGACUCCACAACCCUGCUUUGACCAGGCAGGACUGAUGGAAGAAAAGGUCCAUUAUCUCUUCCCUAAAGGAUGGUUGUCUCCAAGGUUCAGUCUGGGCAUCAGAGGGCAUCACUUCCUUCAUCUGAUUCAUGACAGUGAAUUCUCCUGCACAGACACUGUAUAUACAGACCUAAAAAAAACAAAAAAAAAAAGGAUUAUAAUGAAGACCUUGGCAGCUGCUACCCAGGCCUCAUGGCUGGAGAGACCUUAAUCAACCCCUGAGCCUGCUGUGAUAAACACUGCUACUCUCCAGCUCGUGUGAUGUAUGUCUCAGUGCUCAGCCACUGUACACAAGAUGUUUGAAAGCAGAAGGCACCAAUAUAG